rnacentral:lncRNA from 1 species
UGUUUUUAUUGUGAAAAACAGGGUCAUUUUAUCAAAGACUGCUAUAAAAAUAAAAAUGAGUCAAAAAAAAAGAAAUAAGAAGUUGGGGAUGCAGCCUUAUUGUAUAACAAAGAUAAAAAUGAAGAUGGCUUGGUCCUUGUUAAUGGGGACAAGAGACUAAGUGAUGAAUGGAUUCUUGAUUCAGGCUGUUCUUUUCAUAUGUGCCCUAAUAAGAAUAGUUUUCUUGAAAUUGAAAAAACUACUGGUGGGCAAGUUAUAAUGGGUAACAAUAUGACGUGUAAAGUAAAUGGAAUAGGUACUAUAAAAUUGUUGCUUGAUAAUGGGAAGGUCCUAUUUCUAAAAGGAAUGUUGGAUGAUAUGGAGUUCAACAUAAAAUUGGGCCAUGGACAUAUUGAAAUUCUUAGGGGCAAUGAUUUACUCAUUAGCACCCUUAAGAGACAUGGACUUUAUUUCUUAAAGCUAAACUUUUACUUGGCUUAACUGCUACUGCUUUAAUUGAAAAUUUUUCUCUUGCAAAAUUAUGGCAUGAGAGACCUGGCCACAUUGGUAAGAAAAGUUUAAAGGCUUUAGAAAACAAAUGAAUUUUUGGUAAACAAAAUCUUGGUGAUAUUGGUCAUUGUGAACAAUGUGUGAUUGGUAAAUAGGCUAAGCUUCAUUUUCUGCCUAGAACUCAUAAAAUUAAACAAAUUCUUGAGUACUUGCAUGCUGAUUUAUGGGGACCUGCAUCUAUGUGUACUCUUUCAGGAUUUAAAUAUUAUCUUUUGAUCAUUGAUGAUUUUUCAAGAAAAAUCUGGAUUUUCUUAUUAAAAUCUAAAGAUGAGACUUUUUCAGUCUUUAGGGACUGUAAAACACAAAUAGAAAAUCAAACCGAUCACAAGAUAAAAAUAUUAAGGACAGAUAAUGGUCUCGAGUUUUGUAAUCAUGAGUUCAAUAACUUCUGUAAAGAACAUGGUAUAUUAAGAUAUUUCACUAUUACCUAUAUACCUCAACAAAAUGGCAUAGCUAAAAGAAUGAACAGAACUUUACUAAAUAAAGUUAGAUGCAUGUUAUUAAGUUCUGGUUUGCCAAAAAUAUUUUGGGGUAAAGCUGUAAAAACAACUGCAUACUUAGUUAAUAGAACACCCACUUCUGCCCUAAACUUUGAAGUACCUGAAUCAGUAUAGACUAAAAAUUAUGUUGAUUAUUCACAUUUAAAAACUUUUGGAUGUGCUGCUUAUGCACACCAAAAUAUUGGAAAAUUAGAACCUAGAUCACUUAAAUGUGUUUUUUUGGGUUAUGCUGAAAAUGUGAAGGGGUAUAGAUUGUCGGUUAAAAGUGAGAAAAGGUAUAGGGUGAUUGUUAAAAGAGAUGUUGUCUUUAAUGAAUCCCUUAUGCCAUGCCUAGAAGGAAAACAUAAUUUGACUUCUAAUGAUGUACAAAUUGAGGUGGAGCCUCCUAAGAUUGAAGGAAAAACCAAUGUACCUGUUGUACCAGAAAUGAUUAAUGUAGAAAAUGAUGCUGAAAAUGAAACUGAAAAUAAUCUGCAUAAUAACACUAAUGACCAAUUUGAAAAUCCAACCUAUCCCAUUGAAGAAUAUCAAUUAACUAGAGAUAAGGAAAGAAGGCAGACUAAACCACCUACAAGAUAUGAUUCUGAUGAUUUUGUUUCAUUAUUUACCUAUCAAGAACAAACUGAAAAUGAGCCUAACACUUAGGAAGAUGCCAUAAACUGCAAAUAUUCUAAACAUUGGAUAGCAGCUAUGGAAGAUGAAAUGAGUUUACUUCUUAAAAAUAAAACCUGGAAAUUAGUUGAGAAGCCAAAAGGUCAAAAGCUUAUAAACUGUAAAUGGAUUUAUAAGAUAAAAGAAGGUGAAGGUGAAAAUAAUAGUCUUAGCUAUAAGGCUAGGUUAGUUGCAAAGGGGUUCACACAAAAGGAAGGUGUAGAUUACAGUGAAAUAUUUUCUCAUGUAGCUAAAUACACUACAAUCAGAUGUUUACUUGCAUUAGUUGCUCAAUUUGGAUGGGAACUUGACCAGUUAGAUGUUAAGACUGCUUUUCUUUAUGGUGAUCUGGAAGAAACAAUUUAUAUGAAACAACCAGUUGGGUUUGUGAAAGGAAAUCCAGAAAAUGUUGUGUGCUGUUAAAGAAGUCUUUGUAUGGCCUGAAACAGGCUCCUAGGCAGUGGUACAAAAGGUUUGAUUCUUUUGUAUUGAAACUUGGUUUUCAAAAGAGCAAUUAUGAUACAUGUUUGUAUUGUAGAGGUAAAGGAGGUAAACAUUCUCUUUAUCUUGUACUUUAUGUGGAUGAUAUGUUGCUAGCAAGUUUUGAUAAAUCUGAAAUUGAAUAUAUUAAGCAACAACUUAAAUCUGAAUUUGACAUGAAAGAUCUUGGAAAUGCUAAAAAGAUUAUUGGCAUGCAAAUUUAUAAAGAUAAAAAGAAAAACAUGUUAUUUCUGAAUCAAUAUGAUGAUGUGAUAAAGAUUUUGAAAAAAUUCAACAUGUUUGACUGUAAAUCUGUGUCUCUGCCUCUUGCAAAUCAUUUUAAGCUAUCUCUGUCCCAAAACUUUUGAAGAAUCUGAUGAAAUGUCAAAAGUACCUUAUGCAAAUGUUAUUGGUUCUGUGAUGUACUUAAUGGUAUGUACUAGACCUGAUCUUGCCUUCAGUAUUAGCAUAUUAAGUAGGUUUAUGAGUAAUCCUGGGAAAGAACACUGGAAUGCUUUAAAAUGGCUCUUGAGAUACUUAAAGGGUACUGCAAACUUGUGUCUUGUAUUUAAAAUGAACAAAGAAGGAGUAACCUUAAAGGGAUUUACUGAUUCUGAUUUUGCUGGAAAUAGGGACAAUAGGAAAUCAACUUCAUCCUAUUUCUUUACCUUAUGUGGUAUAGUAAUUAGUUGGAAAUCACAAUUACAAAAGAUUGUAGCUUUAUCCUCAACUGAAGCAGAAUACAUUGCUGUUUCUGAUGCUUUUAGAGAAGGAAUAUGGUUAAGUGGUUUACUUAAGAAACUUCAAGUUGUUGAUGAAAAUGCAACGUUAUAUUCUGAUAAUCAAAGUGCUAUACAUCUUAGUAAAAAUUUCAUGUAUCAUGAUAGGACUAAAUGCAUAGACAUUAAGUAUCACUUUAUUAGAGAUAUUAUUUCAAAAGUGUUUUGAAAAUUGGUAAAGUACCUACUCGGUAUAACCCAUCUGAUAUGGGAACAAAGAUAAUACCUUUGAACAAAUUUAAAAACUAUUUGAAGACAUUAUCUAUUGACUCUAUGUGAUAAAUUGCAAGUACUUGGAGCAAAUAAAAGGAGAAAGUGAUAUUGUCUCCUGGUUGCACUAAACCAGAAAAGAUGGUAGCAAGGUGGAGAUUGUUGUGACUCGAACCAUGUUAUUGGUGCUUCCAUAUUUUUAGCCAUCAAAACGUGUUAUGAAAAUGCACUUUUAUAAAUGGCAUUCUGCCUAAUGAUGACACCUGGCUUUAUUCCUACCGUUGGAUGAAGGGUUACUUGUUUGGUUAUAUAAAUGAGAUUUGACGAUUCAUUUGGCCAUGAGACUUUUCAUUCCAUCUGACUCUUGAGUGAGGUUUGAGAGUGUUCUUCUAUUCUCUCGAGUUAGGGUUUUCUGUUUUCCCUAUUUUCUGUAAUCGAUCAUCUCAUUCGAUGUGUAUUUUGGAAGGCUUUUAGUCACUAAAUACUAGUAUAUUCUUGAGUGAUACUUAGAGUCCUCAUGUGUUGAGGUUAGGGAUGUUUCUGUUGAUUCGUUGUGAGUCUAAGGCAGAUCUGUGGUUCCUUCGAAGAGAUAAGUCUCUCUCUUAUGUAUUCUUGUAGUGGUUGAAUUCUGUAACCUUCGAUUGCCUGUUUUUGGGGCUUUAGUGCAACCAAACAAUAUCCACUUCGAUUGGAUGCUCAACAGGGGACUAGGUGCUAGUCGCUGGACCUCUGGGGCUUCGAUUGAAAAAUCUUGUUGUGUUCUUUACUUUCUGCAAGUUUAAUUUCUGUUGUUGUGAUCGAUUGUAUCUUGCAACUUAUUGUGUGGGUUUUUUGGCCCCCUUUCAAGUAUCAUGAUCAAAUGAGAGAAGAUGUCUGAUCCAUUUGAUAAUGAUCUGAAUUGCCCAUGGUUCUCCACUCUUAGUGAUGCAAUGAGUCCGUCUCUACCCUAAUGUCUGAUAAAUCAAGUGGUCGAGCAAGUGAAAUCCCAUCUAAGAUAGUGCGUAACUCAACCUCCAAGACAAGACAGUCUUCAUAAGAUGACGAGAAGGCCCCAAUACAAUGCCCAUCCUAGUCUUAACUAAGCACCAUAUGAAGAAAUGAAUGCUCAUGAUAGACUUUCCAAAUUAUCCCUUUAGGCUCCAUGUGUAUGUCAUUGUGCUUCGCGUCAUUCCUUGCAAGCAAUAAGAACCAAAAUAUAAGUAGGGAGAUGAUAGUGCAAAAGUAGCCUUUAUGAACAUACUGACCCGAGUAAUUCCAUCGCAAGAAUUAGGAUCUAACUCCCUAGCCGGAUUUCAUGAAAUAUACCCCCAAAAUGAUUUCAAACCUGGUCAGAAAUGGUGCUGCUAGUGAAAAUAUGUGAACUAGUCUCGAUCUUUGAGCAACACUGAUAUCCUCAUUUGAAUGGUUACAUCGACCAGUAUAAAAUCCUGCCAUAGUUUUCAACAAAAGAAAGGAAUUGUAGUAGGCAUAAUGGGGCUCCACAUCAAUCAAUAUGAGACUUGACGAUACUGACAAGAGUGAACAAGCUACCACUCUGACUUGGUAAGAAACUACCAUCUGGCGUAUCCGUCUCGAAAAUUCGAUCAUGGGAUUAGCGUGGAGAAGUAUAAUUCCAAUCUGCUCAAACAUAAAUAGAGGAAGACCUUGUAACAAUUGAUAAGUGUGGGUUUUUGCACUUAUUCGAGCCAUUAAACAUAGAUAUUUGUGAGUUUCAUUAGCGAUUUAUUACCUAAUUUAGUUAUUUUUAUUGUGUAGGUGAAAACCCGACGCUGAGUGAUGAUUUGAAGGAAUUCGAGAAAAGACGAAAAAGAUAAUGAGAAACGAAAAGGAAGCUCGAAGACGCAACUGAUUUCAGAAAAAAAAAAAAAAGCCUAAAACUGAGCGCUGCAGUGCCCAGCGCUGAAGCCCAUUUUAGGCAGAAUCUGUGGCACCACUCAGGGGCAUUUUUUUUAUUUCUCUAAAUUUCAGGGACCAAGCUGCAAUUUUUCUUUGGUUUUAAUUAAAAAGGAAAGAUUUCAGCCACAGACGGGGACUUUCCUCUUCCAGUUUUACAAGGCUGACGAUUUUUCUCUCUCUUUUCUUUUCUUUUUCUUUUCCCUUCUUCCUUUUACCUACAUUUUCUUGAAUAUCUGGGGAAAGAUUGGAGCAAGUUGUUGGUGAAAUAGCUUGGGGAAGAAGAUUCAUUGAUAUAGAAGAUUUCUCAACAAUUUCUCUUCAUCAAUAAGUUUUUCUUUUUUCUAUUUUCCAUCAAUGUUCUGUAAGACAUUGUUAGUUAUUUGUGAAUAUUUCAUCAGUAACUAAAUAUAUUGGUGAUUGGGAAUUAUUUCAAACCCGAG